CUACGGGGGGCACCAGUGAGGAAUAUUGGUCAAUGGGCGAAAGCCUGAACCAGCCAUGCCGCGUGCAGGAUUGACUGCCCUAUGGGUUGUAAACUGCUUUUCUGAGGGAAGAAACUUUCGAUCGUGAUCGAAACUGCCGGUACCUCAGGAAUAAGCAUCGGCUAACUCCGUGCCAGCAGCCGCGGUAAUACGGAGGAUGCAAGCGUUAUCCGGAUUUAUUAGGUUUAAAGGGUACGUAGGCGGGGCAUUAAGUCAGUGGUGAAAUCUUACCGCUUAACGGUAAAAUUGCCAUUGAAACUGAUACUCUUGAGUGUAGUUGAGGUUGGCGGAAUGUGUAGUGUAGCGGUGAAAUGCUUAGAUAUUACACAGAACACCGAUUGCGAAGGCAGCUAACUAAACUAUCACUGACGCUGAGGUACGAAAGCGUGGGGAGCGAACAGGAUUAGAUACCCUCGUAGUC
rnacentral:rRNA from 1 species